GCACUGCUGACGAGUCCCAUAACAGGACGAAACGAACAUCCAGUGU
rfam:Schistosoma curassoni strain Dakar, Senegal genome assembly, scaffold: SCTD_contig0009200